GGCCCUUUAGCUCAGUGGUACAGAGCGUCGCGGCGAUCUUGGUCCGGAUACGGGAGGAAAUUCAAUCCCACCUUUAUCUGGACUGCUCGCGCGAAGAGCUGGGUUCGAUUCCCGGAAAGACCG